rnacentral:rRNA from 1 species
GACGAACGCUGGCGGCGUGCCUAAUACAUGCAAGUCGAGCGAAGUUUUUCUGGUGCUUGCACUAGAAAAACUUAGCGGCGAACGGGUGAGUAACACGUAAAGAACCUGCCUCAUAGACUGGGACAACUAUUGGAAACGAUAGCUAAUACCGGAUAACAGCAUUAACUGCAUGGUUGAUGUUUAAAAGUUGGUUUUGCUAACACUAUGAGAUGGCUUUGCGGUGCAUUAGCUAGUUGGUGGGGUAAAGGCCUACCAAGGCGACGAUGCAUAGCCGACCUGAGGGGGUGAUCGGCCACACUGGGACUGAGACACGGCCCAGACUCCUACGGGAGGCAGCAGUAGGCAAUCUUCCGCAAUGGGCGAAAGCCUGACGGAGCAACGCCGCGUGAAUGAAGAAGUAUUUCGGUUCGUAAAGCUCUGUUGUUAGGGAAGAAUGACUGUGUAGUAACUAUACACAGUAGAGACGGUACCUAACCAGAAAGCUACGGCUAACUACGUG